rnacentral:rRNA from 1 species
UACGUAGGGGGCAAGCGUUGUCCGGAUUUAUUGGGCGUAAAGAGCGUGUAGGCGGUUAGGUAGGUCCGUUGUGAAAACUCGAGGCUCAACCUCGAGACGCCGAUGGAAACCAUCUGACUAGAGUCCGGAAGAGGAGAGUGGAAUUCCUGGUGUAGCGGUGAAAUGCGCAGAUAUCAGGAGGAACACCGGUGGCGAAGGCGGGUCUCUGGGCCGUAACUGACGCUGAGGAGCGAAAGCAUGGGGAGCGAACAGG